AGCAGCAGCACGUAGGAAGGAGCCCUGGAGGACUCACCGAAGACCGGAGGAGGAGCGGAGACAUGCGCACCAGCUGAAGAGACGCGAGGGAGCGAGCCGCAGGACCAGGAGAGGACCAACGCCAUGGAGGAGCUGCCUGUCACCAGAGCGACCAGAGCCAUCUGCGCUGAGUGGAGAAGACGCUGUAGAAGAGGAGGAGUCCAGCCAGCCGCAGACCGGGGAAGGACAUCCAACCUUCAGUGGACUGGGAUCCUGCAGCAAGGGAGGAGACUGACCAGCAACGGGAGCACCGGCAUCGCGGAGGACACCCACUUACCGGAGCAAGGACCCGCAGAAGACCCUGGCUGGCUUAAAGAAGACGGCGCGGAACAGCGGGGGGGGACAGCGCACAUCAGAAUCCUGCAGCAGGAGAGAAGAUCCCCCUCUGGAGUGCAGCAGACCACAGUGAAAAGGGUGCAUCCCCGAUGCGGUACUCUGCAUCCCGGGUGGCGCCGAAGACGUGGAUUGUCGGAGGUGGCAGAAGCGCCGCAGCUUGGGGAUUUACCAGCAACAUCCUCUUGAUGGCGUGAAGAUCUCUUUUUAGCAAGUGCCUUCCGCCUGACCACUGGUGCUGCAUUUUUUUUUUUAACCCAAUACUUUAAUAUUCAAAUUUAAUGCACAAAAUACAAUGCAUUGGCAUCAAUAAAAACAAUAUACUUCA